rnacentral:rRNA from 1 species
GACAGAGGUGCCGAGCGUUAGGCGGAAUCACUGGGCUUAAAGCGUGUGUAGGCGGACCGUUAAGUACCUUGUGAAAUCCCCCGGCUCAACCGGGGAAGGGGCGCCGAAACGACCCGUCUGGAGGGACGUAGGGGGACCUGGAACUUCCGGUGGAGCGGUGAAAUGCGUUGAGAUCGGAAGGAACGCCCGUGGCGAAAGCGAGGUCCUGGACGUCUACUGACGCUGAGACGCGAAAGCUAGGGUAGCGAACGGG